UACGGAGGGUGCGGGCGUUGUCCGGAAUCACUGGGCGUAAAGGGCGCGUAGGUGGCUCGGCAAGCGUGCGGUGAAAGUUCGAGGCUCAACCUCGAAUCGGCCGUGCGAACUGCCAGGCUUGAGCACUGUAGAGGCAGAUGGAAUUCCGGGUGUAGCGGUGGAAUGCGUAGAGAUCCGGAAGAACACCGGUGGCGAAGGCGGUCUGCUGGGCAGUUGCUGACACUGAGGCGCGACAGCGUGGGGAGCAAACAGG
rnacentral:rRNA from 1 species